rnacentral:tRNA from 1 species
GCCCCUGUUGCUCAUGUUGGUCAGAGCGCCGGCCUUAUACGCCAGAUAAGCGCGUACACGUCGGUUCGAUUCCGACCGGGGGCA